rnacentral:lncRNA from 1 species
AUGAACGAAGGAGGGAGUGCCUAUAAUUAGAGGAGAAACUUUUUUUUGUGUCGUAAUGUACCACCAAUCCUUGGCACAUGGAUGCCUCUUGAUGGUAAAAAAAGUUUGAGAAAGGGAGACAGAGGGUUGGACGUUGGCCAUGGCACAAACGAUCAAGAAGCCAAUGACAAAAUGAAAAAAAUUUGGAAUGAGAGUAGAAAGAGAGAUGCAAUAAAAUCAGAAGAGAUCGAGAAUAAAGAGAGAAAUGGGAAGCCAC